rnacentral:rRNA from 1 species
GUAGGGAAUAUUGGGCAAUGGAGGCAACUCUGACCCAGCCAUGCCGCGUGCAGGAAGACGGUCCUCUGGAUUGUAAACUGCUUUUGAAUGGGAAGAACAUACGGUUUGCGAACCGUACUGACGGUACUAUUAGAAUAAGCACCGGCUAACUCCGUGCCAGCAGCCGCGGUAAUACGGAGGGUGCAAGCGUUAUCCGGAUUUAUUGGGCUUAAAGGGUGCGUAGGCGGCCUUAUAAGUCGGUGGUUAAAGGUAGCAGCUUAACUGUUUUACAUGCCAUCGAUACUGUAGGGCUUGGGUGAUUUGGAGGUAGCUAGAAUUCCCUGUGUAGCGGUGAAAUGCAUAGAUACGGGGAGGAAUACCGAUUGCGAAGGCAUGUUACUACGAAUUAACUGACGCUGAGGCACGAAAGCGUGGGGAUCAAACAGGAUUAGAUACCCGUGUAGUCC